rnacentral:rRNA from 1 species
UAAUGCCGGAUGCUCCAGUUGAUCGCAUGGUCUUCUGGGAAAGCUUUCGCGGUAUGGGAUGGGGUCGCGUCCUAUCAGCUUGACGGCGGGGUAACGGCCCACCGUGGCUUCGACGGGUAGCCGGCCUGAGAGGGCGACCGGCCACAUUGGGACUGAGAUACGGCCCAGACUCCUACGGGAGGCAGCAGUGGGGAAUAUUGCACAAUGGGCGCAAGCCUGAUGCAGCGACGCCGCGUGAGGGAUGGAGGCCUUCGGGUUGUAAACCUCUUUUAUCGGGGAGCAAGCGAGAGUGAGUUUACCCGUUGAAUAAGCACCGGCUAACUACGUGCCAGCAGCCGCGGUAAUACGUAGGGUGCAAGCGUUAUCCGGAAUUAUUGGGCGUAAAGGGCUCGUAGGCGGUUCGUCGCGUCCGGUGUGAAAGUCCAUCGCUUAACGGUGGAUCCGCGCCGGGUACGGGCGGGCUUGAGUGCGGUAGGGGAGACUGGAAUUCCCGGUGUAACGGUGGAAUGUG